rnacentral:lncRNA from 1 species
CGCAUAGAGUUGCUCUAUGCGGUCACAUAGAGCAAUUCUCAGGUAAAAUUGCAGUUUCCUUUUUCCGCCAAAACUCUUAUGGAAACAAUAUUUUUAGGGUCCUAUAUAAACAAAAACUUGACCAGAAUGAAGGGGAUGCCAUUUUUACAAGUUUUUGAGAGAUUUUGAAGGAGAAACGUGGAGAGAACAAGAGGACAACAUCGCGUCAAGUGAAGAUUGAUUCGGGUGAUGACGUUUCUUCAGCUAUUUUUAUGUUUUCUUCUUUUUAGCAUUUAGGCUAGAUUUUUCAUUGCUAGGAGAUCGACGAACCUUGUAAUACUACGUUUGAUUUUUUAUUUGGAUAUUUGACAUCUUUAAAUGCAUAUUCCGGAAUUGAAUGGUUUAUUACGUUUUUAUUUUCAUAUGAUUAUUGCGCACGUAAUUAUGUGAUUGUGGUGGCCUGUUUUAUACAUUCGAAAGAAGGAAAAUAAGUUCGACAUAGUAUAAAUGAUCAUAGGGUCCGAUAGGGAAUAGAAAUAUACCUCUAUCCACUUACAUCAGUGAAAGGUGUUCGUAGUUUCCUUGGGCAUGCCGGGUUCUACAGAAGGUUCAUCAAGGAUUUCUCAAAGAUUACUAAACCACUAUGCUGUUUGUUGAUGAAGGAAUUCACAUUUGAGUUCACGGAUGAGUGUCUGCUGGCUUUUAACACCUUGAAAGAGAAGUUGAUUUCAGCACCCGUGAUCAUCACACCGAAUUGGAAUCUGCCAUUUGAAUUAAUGUGCGACACCAGUGAUUUUGCUAUUGGGGCCAUAUUGGGAUAACGAAGAAAUAAGAUAUUUCACGUGAUCUACUAUGCAAGCAAGAUAUUGAACGACACUCAACUAAAUUAUGCCACUACAGAGAAAGAGCUCCUUGCCGUAGUCUACGCCUUUGACAAAUUUCGAUUAUUCCUUGUGGGGUCAAAGGUCAUUGUUUAUAGAGAUCACGCUGCUAUCAAGUACUUAAUGAAAAAGAAGGAUGCAAAGUCAUGUCUCAUUCGUUGGACACUGUUGCUUCAAGAGUUUGACUUGGAAAUCAGGGAUAAGAAGGGUAGUGAAAACGUGGUGGCAGACCACUUGUCUCAACUCGAGGCAACAGAAUAGACAGAGACAGUGGAAAUCAACGAAGUCUUCCCAGAUGAACAGAUUUUUGGUGUGGGUAAAGCACCCUGGUAUGCGGACAUAGUUAACUACUUAGCCAGGUCUAUCAUGCCGCCAAAUUACUCAAGUCACCAAAAGAAGAAAUUUUUCACUGAAUUGAAGUAUUAUUUUUGGGAGGACCCCAUUCUAUACUGGCGGGGGCCUGAUCAAAUUGUUCAUCGCUGCGUAUCUGAGGAAGAAGUGCCUUUGAUAUUAAAACAUUGUCAUUCAUCUAAAUAUGCAGGGCAUUUUGGUGCUUCAAAAACAACGACGAAGAUCCUUCAGUCAGGUUUUUACUGGCCUACUCUGUUUAAGGAUGCUUUUGAAUUUGUGAAAAUGUGUGACCGAUGUCAACGCACUAGUAAUAUAUCCAGGAGAAAUAAAAUGCCUUUGAACAGUAUCCUAGAGGUGGAACUAUUCGACGUCUGGGGGAUCGACUUCAUGGGGCCAUUUCCCCCAUCCUUCUCUAAUCAGUAUAUAUUAGUGGCUGUGGAUUACGUAUUGAAGUGGGUAGAGGCUGUUGCAUUGCCUACCAACGAUGGGAAGGUGGUGAUUGAGUUUCUAAAGAAAAAUAUUUUUACCCGCUUCGGCACACUAAUGGCUAUAAUCAGUGACGGGGGCAAACAUUUCUGCAAUCGCCAGUUUGAACAAUUGUUGACUAAAUAUGGCGUUAAACAUCGUGUAGCCACUGUAUAUCAUCCCCAAACCAGCGGACAGGUUGAAGUGUCCAAUAGGCAAUUGAAGAGAAUACUCGAAGUCAUAGUAAGAUCGUCACGAAAAGAUUGGUCUAAGAAACUGGACGACACCUUGUGGGCCUAUAGGACUGCAUUCAAGACCCCUAUAGGAAUGUCACCAUAUCGACUGGUUUUCGGGAAGGCAUGCCACUUACCUCUUGAGAUAGAACACCAUGCUUACUGGGCAAUGAAGAAAUUGAAUUUGGACUUGAAUGCUGCAAGUGAAAAACGUCUACUACAACUUAAUGAGCUGGAUGAGCUCAUAAUGGAAGCCUACGAGAAUUCAAGACUCUACAAAGAACGCACCAAGAAAUGGCAUGAUAUGCAUACGGUGGGGGUAAAAAGUGCUACUCUACAACUCUAGGCUUAAACUGUUUCCAAAAAAGCUGCGAUCGAGAUGGUCUGGUUCGUAUACUAUUACACAGGUAUUUCCACAUGGGGCAGUGGAGAUCACUCACGACAGUAAGGGGACAUUCAAGAUCAAUGGACAGCAUUUGAAGCACAAUUGGGGCGGCAAUUUUUCAAAGGAAAAGUCUACCAUUCAUCUUAAACCAUCAGAAUGACGCAAUACGAUAAAGUGGAGCUAUCGACUAUAACCUAACGCUAGGUGGGAGGCAACCCACUGUAUCCUUCUAUUUAGCUUACUUUUCACAUUAUUUUUAGAUUUGUUUAAUUUUUGCAUAUACAUUUUUCUAGGUCAUCGUUCAUACAUACAUGUUAAUAGGAUCAAAUUAUCGUCCCCAUAACUUUAUAGGCAUUACACACAUGGUCGGGGAGUUUGAAAUGAUUUUGAGUGUUUGGGAGUAUGAUUCGCGCAUUUCUAGAUAAAAGAAAGUUUUUUUUUUAUUAUAAAAAAAAUUUUACGAGGGAAAUAUCUUUUUGUUUUUCAGUAUGUUAGAAAAAAAAAAUAAUAAUAAAUAAAAAUAAUUUUGGUUUAUGCGAUUGCAUAGACACCUACCGAACAUCAAAUGGGGGCAAUUUUCAUUACUAUGCGACCGCAUAGUAGACCUCGGUCAUGAUUUUAAACCAUGAUCGAGCCAUUUCCUCCCCCAUAUUUACAUCACGCUCUUCAAACUUCUCACACCACACUCCCACACGAAUCACACCCAUCCUUCACUGCAUUCUCUCCCCCAUUGAUACCAUCAAUCGGCACUCCUCACAUCCAUAGUGAUUUCAAGGUACGUUAUUUGUCCUUUUUCCUCUAUUCAUUUUUUUCCCUUUCAUUUGGUUCGUAAUGAGCAACAAACAUUUUUGGGCUUGAGUGUAGAGAAUGGGCAAUAGAUAGUCGAUGGAGUUGUGUAUUUUGAACUUAAAUUGUGUUGUGGAUUGGUGGGACAUUUUUAAAUUUGAAUUUUGUAGGGUUUACAAUUAAUGACUAUUAAAUGUUCGAUAAAAUGCCUAAUUGAGCUUUGUGGUGCAUUAUGUGGAAUCCCGCAUUUGAUAAUCUAAAUAUGUACACUACCAUGCACAUUGCGAUCAAAUGCCAUAAAAAUUGAGCUCGAAACACUUACGUACCAACCACACACGUAGGCACACGUGCUAGGCUCACGUCACUUCACAACACCCAUUUCGUCCCUUGCGUUAAGUACCCAUACAACAUCCAAUGAGCUUGAAAUUUGAAUAUGUGCCACUCCACACUAUAUACUUUCAUAUGCCCGGAGGUUGCUCGGGAAAAUUUUGAGUUUUCUCAAUGAUGUCCGGGGUGAAAGUGCUCACUUACUCACGGGUCCCUUGACACAUUUUUGGAUGUUUUGAACUUCAUUUGGUGUGUGUAUUGUUAUUUUGCCUUCCUUUUAUGUUCUUGAGCAUGUUUUCUUGAAGUUUGCAUAUGCCACAUUCAUAAACACAUAUAAAACAUCACAUCCAUUUUGCAAGACGUAGGCACAUGGCUAGGUCAGGGCAUGUCACGGCACCCUACGUCCCCUACUUUACACUAUUAUAUGGCAUACCAAACGAAGUCCAUUUGCUUUGAAAUUUGAAUAUAUGGUAAAUCUCAUUGAAUACUUUCAUAUGCCUAGAGAUUUCCUUGGGAAAUUUCGAUAUUUUUUGAUGAUGUCCGGGGCUGAACAUUCGCACUCGAUCAUGGGUCCAAUUUUUCAAAUGCGCUUAUUUCAGCCUAAAUUUCCAAUUUUUCAUAUUGGUACACUAUUCACAUCACUUUGAAUGUCAUGUUUUUCUGAAUGCACACCAAGAAGUUCAAUAUGCAUGUUGAAGCAAGUUUGGGGGAUUUGUGAAAUACAUAUCUUGCUAAUCUCAUUCCCCCUCUCGUUUUUUUCAAAAUGAAGUUUAAUGAAUGCUAUUCUUUUACCUUUGCAGGAUGCCUCCAAAAAGAACAUCAAAAGGAAAGGAGAAGGUUGGUUCUACAUCUGGCACAGCCCGGACUAGGGAGCCCGAAGGAGGUGUCAGGCAUUUUCUAUCUUCAGACCAAGCAACCCGUUACGCCAAUGUUGUUCGUGAGUGAGCUCUCAUCCUCGAAAGUCUAGUUAAGUUGGAUGAUUUCCCGGGUUUUAAAUUGGUGUAUUUAAUCCACAACUGUGGUUGGGAGAAAGUGAUUGAAAACCCACACCCCCUCUAUGAAAAUUUGGUACGGGAAUUCUAUGCAAACUUCAAUGCUGAAAUAGACACACCUGGAUCCGAUCAUCUGCAUCAAACAUGGGUUCGGGGCAAAUGGAUCCUGUUUUCACCUGAAGUUAUUCAUGACUACUAUCAGCUUACCUGGACUAAUGUGGUCACAGUCCCGCAUGAUUUCAACUGGGUUGAAGUUGCAGAGGUUUUAUUAGGACGUGACAAUGCUUGACGUCUCCCUAAUGCUGAUUGGUACCAGAUUGACCUCACUCCUUCUAUAGCCAUCGUAUGGUUGUUUAUCUGUCGAACAUCAAGUCCAUCUCGCAUAGGACGACAUUCACAAAUCAGAAGGCGAGGUUCAUCUAUCACUUAGUUCGGGGCAACAAGAUUGACUUGGCUACUUACAUUUACAACUAGAUACACAUUACAGGCGCUUGGGGAGACAAGCACACCUCACUGAUUUUCCCGAGCUUGAUAAGUGGGGUUUGUAGAGCUGCUGGGGAGGCAUCGGAGAAAUCAAGUCCAUUUAUCAAGCGCCUCACACUCAAGGCCCAGGAUCGGGCCAGAAUUAAACAUCAACAGAAAUUGAAAAACGAGCGCCGACGACGACAACAGGCUGAAGAAGGGCAAGCAGCCGAGGACUUUGAAAUGUCACAAGCUCCACCACCACCGGCUGACAUGGACACACAGUUAUUGAGGCAGAUGUUUGCCACUAUGACUGGACACAGUCAAGACAUGCAGCAGCUUCAACACUCCUUUGGAGCACCGAGUACCACCAUCCAGCAGGUGUAGACGGAUAUGGCAUCCGCACGAAACUUCACUUCCACUGCUAGUAGUGAGUCUCUCGCGGCACACCGACAGAUGAGUACCUUUGAUGGGCGAUUGGGUAUGCACGCUGGCAGAAUGGAUGGUAUACAGUGGCGGGUAAAUGAGACUUAGGACCGUCUUGGAAGUUUGGAGACAAGGGUACAGGCCAUGCAGGUGGAGCAGACCCAGCAGUCUGCCAUAUGGCGAGAGAUUUUAGCCCGCCUACCGUCCCCUCUUGGAGAUGAUGUUGCCAGACCCAGCUUUCCUUCGCAACCACCAUUUUGAUCAGGGGAGUACUGUUUACCCCAUUUUGAUUUUUCUUCUUCAUUUUGUCCUUAAAAUUAUGUUUUUAAUCUUUUGUUAAUCUUAAUUGAGGACAAUGUAUUAACUAAGUUUGGGGAGGGUGACAUAAUUUUAAAUCUCUAUCUGUGUUCAUCAUUAUUUAUUUUUCACUGAUUUACAUUACUACAUAAUGUGUGCAUGAUGAGUGUUGUAAAAAAAUUGUAUUUUAUUCAGUUUGUUUUAAAUUCUCUUUAUGCAUGCUUGUGUGAAUUUGAUAACCUUAUUAGCUAUGAUGAUAUUAUUGAACUAGUGUAAACUACAAAACUUUGGAUCUGGUGUUAAUUAGACCAACUGAUACUUGUGGAUGCAACACUUGACAUUAUCUAUGCAUGCUAUUCAUGCUUGACAUAUUAGGAGAAUGAUUGAAUUCUGAGCAUAAAGCAAGAAAAGAAUGAUAACCCUCUAUUGAAUUAACCCAUAAACUAUCUUAAGACAGUUUGGUGAUAGUUUAGCUAUUAUAUGAAAGCACUGAGAUGAGCGAAAGCUCCGUGCAUGAAACUUAUUGAUGUGGAUUGCCUAGACUAGUGGGAUGAAAAGUAGGUGAAAAUCUUAAAUUGGGGGUUGGUUUUGGAAACUAAAUGUCUAGAAAAAUAACAAAGGGCACAAAAUUAAUAUGUGAGAAUAAAACACUUCUUUUCAUGCCUUUAGGACUCAAGCAAGUAAGCCUGUAAGGAUAUUUCAAAAUCUGGUGCCUCAAAAACCAACUGGCCUGGGAGUCACCGGCCCAAAGCUCGGUACAUGGGUCAUAUAGAAAGCAAGAGGGAAAGAAGUUAAUAAAAAGUCAUCUUAUUGAGCAUUUAUAACUCGAGUGAAUAAGCCUGCAAAGGUUUAAAACCUGGUACCCUAAAGCCAACUGGUUUGGGAAUCACCGGCCUAAAGCUUGUUACAUGGAUUAUAUAGAAAGCAAAAGAGAAGAUGACAAUCAAUUAGAAAUUAAAGAAAUGGAAGAAAAACAAAAUAGAGACAAUAACAUGACGAAAAGCCCUUAGACAUUUGGUUGAAAAGACUAUACCUCUGAAGGAGGCAAGUAACCUAGUUUAAUCUUGAGUGUCGAAGCAAUCAAAUUUAGGAGAGCCUUCUCUUUUUGAAAUGUAAACUUGUGAUAGUAAGGCUAAAUCCAAACUAUAACGGGGUGAGGACUACCGCUAUAUAAAUUCCUAAUAUUAAAACACAACCCCGGGAUAAUUGAGCAAAAAGAAUAAAUUUGGGGGGUUGUGUAUCUCUCGAGCGAGUAAGAAUACAUUUGACCACUUGGGGUCGGGACUCAAAUUCAUCAUGAACCUGAUAUGUUGGCAUGAAUUCACACACACACACACUUCAAUUUGCAUUUAACAGGUAAAUGUUGGUGUCUUGUUUGCACUAAUAAAUUUUCAUAAAGUCAAAUACAUAGUCCAAUCCUGAGUCACAACAGGGUAUUAAGCCAUGUUUGCUCAGAAUUAAGUCACAAUCUUUUUUGAGGACAAACAAUAGUUCAAGUUUGGGGGUUUGAUAAGUGUGUUUUUGCACACUUAUUUAGGUCACAAACAUGAUUGAAUAACAAGCAAAAUGAUUGAAUUAUGACUUAAUUUUGUUACAUUUUUGAAUUGUAGGGAACAACGAUGAACAUGGUGAAAUUCAGGAAAAAGACGCAAAAAAGGACUAAAAUGACGCAAAGUGAAAGUUCAGGGACCAAGGUGCAAUUAUCCAAAAGUUGACCCAAUGAACAAAUCGAGAAAUUGAUUAAGCCAAUUGCCAAUUGAUGAUAUCUUGGGAUGAUGGAAUGGAAAGAAUAAAGAAAGGAUGCCAAAAAGUGAAGGAUUCAAUUAGGAGGACCAAAAUGAACACCUUUCAUAGUUGGUAGACUGCAUACUUCUGCCCUCUAUGCGGUCGCAUAGAGCCAAACCGAACUUAAAAUGACAGAAUUUUUACUCUAUGCGACCGCAUAGAGUUGCUCUAUGCGGUCACAUAGAGCAAUUCUCGGGUAAAAUUGCAGUUUCCUUUUUCCGCCAAAACUCUUAUGGAAACAAUAUUUUUAGGGUCCUAUAUAAACAAAAGCUUGACCAGAAUGAAGGGGACGCCAUUUUUACAAGGUAUAUAUGCAAAGUGUAACUACACCAUAUAUAACAAUGUGUAUUUUUGUAUAUUUUCCUUAAUUAUAUAAAAUCAUAAAAACUUUACCUUUCACGAUUAUAAAACUAUUUUAGAAACUUUAUCAGCAAACAUACAUUAGAUUUUAAAAUAUCGAAGAUAUUCAUAAUAACACAAUACAUGCGAGGUUGAGCUCAAGGUUAACAAUUUUAUUAUUAUUAUUAUUAUUGCUAAUUUUUGUUGAGAAAAAUGUAGGGAAAUCUGAAAAAUUAAUGAACUCCAAUGCACGAAAAACGUUAUCUUUUAAGAGAUGUUUUUCCUCUAUCCAACAAAGUCACAACUGGGGUAUGAUAGAAAAUCUCUCUCAAGAUACAAUGGAGGCGUUUUAUUCAAAUUGUGACUAUUUGAUCAAAUCAAGAAGACGUUAAAAAAAAAGGACUGAUGAUACCAAGAGAAAUAGAGAAGAAUAAUUUUUUUAAUGUCACCCUCCUGGAGAUGAUGUUGCCAGACCCAGCUUUCCUUCGCAACCACCAUUUUGAUCAGGGGAGUACUGUUUACCCCAUUUUGAUUUUUCUUCUUCAUUUUGUCCUUAAAAUUAUAUUUUUAAUCUUUUGUUAAUCUUAAUUGAGGACAAUGUAUUAACUAAGUUUGGGGAGGGUGACAUAAUUUUAAAUCUCUAUCUGUGUUCAUCAUUAUUUAUUUUUCACUGAUUUACAUUACUACAUAAUGUGUGCAUGAUGAGUGUUGUAAAAAAAUUGUAUUUUAUUCAGUUUGUUUUAAAUUCUCUUUAUGCAUGCUUGUGUGAAUUUGAUAACCUUAUUAGCUAUGAUGAUAUUAUUGAACUAGUGUAAACUACAAAACUUUGGAUCUGGUGUUAAUUAGACCAACUGAUACUUGUGGAUGCAACACUUGACAUUAUCUAUGCAUGCUAUUCAUGCUUGACAUAUUAGGAGAAUGACUGAAUUCUGAGCAUAAAGCAAGAAAAGAAUGAUAACCCUCUAUUGAAUUAACCCAUAAACUAUCUUAAGACAGUUUGGUGAUAGUUUAGCUAUUAUAUGAAAGCACUGAGAUGAGCGAGAGCUCCGUGCAUGAAACUUAUUGAUGUGGAUUGCCUAGACUAGUGGGAUGAAAAGUAGGUGAAAAUCUUAAAUUGGGGGUUGGUUUUGGAAACUAAAUGUCUAGAAAAAUAACAAAGGGCACAAAAUUAAUAUGUGAGAGUAAAACACUUCUUUUCAUGCCUUUAGGACUCAAGCAAGUAAGCCUGUAAGGAUAUUUCAAAAUCUGGUGCCUCAAAAACCAACUGGCCUGGGAGUCACCGGCCCAAAGCUCGGUACAUGGGUCAUAUAGAAAGCAAGAGGGAAAGAAGUUAAUAAAAAGUCAUCUUAUUGAGCAUUUAUAACUCGAGUGAAUAAGCCUGCAAAGGUUUAAAACCUGGUACCCUAAAGCCAACUGGUUUGGGAAUCACCGGCCUAAAGCUUGUUACAUGGAUUAUAUAGAAAGCAAAAGAGAAGAUGACAAUCAAUUAGAAAUUAAAGAAAUGGAAGAAAAACAAAAUAGAGACAAUAACAUGACGAAAAGCCCUUAGACAUUUGGUUGAAAAGACUAUACCUCUGAAGGAGGCAAGUAACCUUGUUUAAUCUUGAGUGUCGAAGCAAUCAAAUUUAGGAGAGCCUUCUCUUUUUGAAAUGUAAACUUGUGAUAGUAAGGCUAAAUCCAAACUAUAAGGGGGUGAGGACUAUCGCUAUAUAAAUUCCUAAUAUUAAAACACAACCCCGGGAUAAUUGAGCAAAAAGAAUAAGUUUGGGGGGUUGUGUAUCUCUCGAGCGAGUAAGAAUACAUUUGACCACUUGAGGUUGGGACUCAAAUUCAUCAUGAACCUGAUAUGUUGGCAUGAAUUCACACACACACUUCAAUUUGCAUUUAACAGGUAAAUGUUGGUGUCUUGUUUGCACUAAUAAAUUUUCAUAUAGUCAAAUACAUAGUCCAAUCCUGAGUCACAACAGGGUAUUAAGCCAUGUUUGCUCAGAAUUAAGUCACAAUCUUGUUUGAGGACAAACAAUAGUUCAAGUUUGGGGAUUUGAUAAGUGUGUUUUUGCACACUUAUUUAGGUCACAAACAUGAUUGAAUAACAAGCAAAAUGAUUGAAUUAUGACUUAAUUUUGUUACAUUUUUGAAUUGUAGGGAACAACGAUGAACAUGGUGAAAUUCAGGAAAAAGACGCAAAAAAGGACUAAAAUGACGCAAAGUGAAAGUUCAGGGACCAAGGUGCAAUUAUCCAAAAGUUGACCCAAUGAACAAAUCGAGAAAUUGAUUAAGUCAAUUGCCAAUUGAUGAUAUCUUGGGAUGAUGGAAUGGAAAGAAUAAAGAAAGGAUGCCAAAAAGUGAAGGAUUCAAGUAGGAGGACCAAAAUGAACACCUUUCAUAGUUGGUAGACUGCAUACUGCUACCCUCUAUGCGACCGCAUAGAGCCAAACCGAACUUAAAAUGACAGAAUUUUUACUCUAUGCGACCGCAUAGAGUUGCUCUAUGCGGUCACAUAGAGCAAUUCUCGGGUAAAAUUGCAGUUUCCUUUUUCCGCCAAAACUCUUAUGGAAACAAUAUUUUUAGGGUCCUAUAUAAACAAAAACUUGACCAGAAUGAAGGGGACGCCAUUUUUACAAGUUUUUGAGAGAUUUUGAAGGAGAAACGUGGAGAGAACAAGAGGACAACAUCGCGUCAAGUGAAGAUUGAUUCGGGUGAUGACGUUUCUUCAGCUAUUUUUAUGUUUUCUUCUUUUUAGCAUUUAGGCUAGAUUUUUCAUUGCUAGGAGAUCGACGAACCUUGUAAUACUACGUUUGAUUUUUUAUUUGGAUAUUUGACAUCUUUAAAUGUAUAUUCCGG